rnacentral:rRNA from 2 species
AAAAAGAACCUGAAACCGUGUACGUACAAGCAGUGGGAGCACAGGUUUACCUGUGUGACUGCGUACCUUUUGUAUAAUGGGUCAGCGACUUAUAUUCUGUAGCAAGGUUAACCGUAUAGGGGAGCCGUAGGGAAACCGAGUCUUAACCGGGCGUUAAGUUGCAGGGUAUAGACCCGAAACCCGGUGAUCUAGCCAUGGGCAGGUUGAAGGUUGGGUAACACUAACUGGAGGACCGAACCGACUAAUGUUGAAAAAUUAGCGGAUGACCUGUGGCU